rnacentral:rRNA from 1 species
GAUGAACGCUGGCGGCGUGCCUAAUACAUGCAAGUCGAGCGAACAGACGAGGAGCUUGCUCCUCUGACGUUAGCGGCGGACGGGUGAGUAACACGUGGAUAACCUACCUAUAAGACUGGGAUAACUUCGGGAAACCGGAGCUAAUACCGGAUAAUAUAUUGAACCGCAUGGUUCAAUAGUGAAAGACGGUUUUGCUGUCACUUAUAGAUGGAUCCGCGCCGCAUUAGCUGGUUGGUAAGGUAACGGCUUACCAAGGCAACGAUGGGUAGCCGACCGGGGAGGGGGAUCGGCCACACUGGAACUGAGCCACGGUCCAGACUCCUACGGGAGGCAGCAGUAGGGAAUCUUCCGCAAUGGGCGAAAGCCUGACGGAGCAACGCCGCGUGAGUGAUGAAGGUCUUCGGAUCGUAAAACUCUGUUAUUAGGGAAGAACAAAUGUGUAAGUAACUAUGCACGUCUUGACGGUACCUAAUCAGAAAGCCACGGCUAACUACGUG